UACGAAGGGGCUAGCGUUGUUCGGAAUCACUGGGCGUAAAGCGCACGUAGGCGGAUUGUUAAGUCGGGGGUGAAAUCCUGAGGCUCAACCUCAGAACUGCCUUCGAUACUGGCAAUCUCGAGUCCGGAAGAGGUUGGUGGAACAGCUAGUGUAGAGGUGAAAUUCGUAGAUAUUAGCUAGAACACCAGUGGCGAAGGCGGCCAACUGGUCCGGUACUGACGCUGAGGUGCGAAAGCAUGGGGAGCAAACGGG
rnacentral:rRNA from 1 species